rnacentral:rRNA from 1 species
GACGAACGCUGGCGGCGUGCUUAACACAUGCAAGUCGAACGAUGUGGCGAACGGGUGAGUAACGCGUAAUCAACCUGCCCUUCUGAGGGGGAUAACAGGUGGACACGACUGCUAAUACCGCAUACUGAAGGAGGGGAUGGCGUCUGAUUGGCUGGUUGGAGGGGUAACGGCCCACCAAGGCGAUGAUCGGUUGCCGGUCGGAGGGGAUGAACGGCCACAAUGGGACUGAGACACGGCCCAGACUCCUACGGGGGGCAGCAGGGGGGAAUCUUCCGGAAUGGACGAAAGUCUUACGGAGCAACGCCGCGUGAGGGAUGGCGGCCUUCGGGUUGUAAAGCUCUGUUAAUCGGGACGCGGUACCGGAAUAGAAAGCCACGGCUAACUACGUGCCAGCAGCCGCGGUAAUUC